AGGAUGAACGCUGGCGGCGUGCCUAACACAUGCAAGUCGAACGUCCUGUCUCGCAAGAGGCAGGGAGUGGCGGACGGGUGAGUACCACGUGGGUCAUCUACCGUGAGGUGAGGAAUACCGGCGAGAAAUCGCCGACAAGACCGCAUAGCCUCGGUGCAAGUCGAGGAAAGCUCUCUCGAGAGAGGGAGCGCCACACGAGGAGCCUGCGCCCGAUUAGCUAGCCGGUGGAGUAAUGGUUCACCAGGGCGACGAUCGGUAGCUGGUCUGAGAGGACGAUCAGCCACACUGGGAUUGAGAACGGCCCAGACUCCUACGGGGGGCAGCAGUGAGGAAUUUUCGUCAAUGGGGGCAACCCUGAACGAGCAAACGCCGCGUGCAGGAAGAAGGUUUUCGGAUCGUAAAACUGGACUUUUCUCGGGGAAGAAGAACGGACGGUACCCGAGGAAUCAGCCCGGCUAACUACGUGCCAGCAGCCGC
rnacentral:rRNA from 1 species